ACAGGCAGAUGUCAUUUUACUGAUUAGAUUUUAUAAAACCAAUACAAUAUCAGGAAGUGUGCAUUGUUCUCUGCUGGGAUUCUCUGAGUGAAGCUGGCAUAGCUGAAGUUGGACCAAUUCUUGUGGAUUCCCUCCUGCAGCAUGCAUACCAUAUGAAAGUGGAACAAAUGCAUUUCUGCUUGUUGUGGCCAUAUCUGUUGUACCAAAGACCUGGGACAUCAAGCCUCAUUGUUAAGCAAUCUGUGCUUUCUAUUAUUGCACUUCAUGGCCUAAGUGAAUAUAAGUCUCUUGUAAUUUUUGGGGAUGCCAUACAUGAAUAUUAACUAAUUAAUCUGGGCUAAUUUUUUGCAUAGUUGUGUGUGUUCUUGGUGAAUGAGAUUUACCUUCUUGUAAAGUUCCACAUUUUCCUGAAAGAUCAGGUUCCCCUGUAUGUGAAAAAGAAAAGGCCAGUCAGUGUUAUAAAAUUUGAUAGAGGAAAAUUAGCAAAGGUUAUUGCUCAAGAAGACCUUUCGGUUCA